CUCCCACACGUUCCUCUUCCCGCCCAGUCCUAUCAGCUAACUUUUGCCUCUCAGGAUUCAGAUUCAUCUUCUACAGGUUUUUCAACAAGGAAAUGCAUGACCUUUCCAGCCUCUUCAGUCUUCUUCUCGACCUAUGAACAAGUUUUGCAUUUUCUGUCUGAAAGGAGGAUGAAGAGUUUGGCAGAGAAGAAUGUGAAGCGGUGCAAAGCAGGGCUUCUGACAACUGACUUAGCAGUUCUCUUCACUUGCUUGCUAAGGACACGAGUACCUCAACGCCCAAAUCCAGAAAGAGAAGCAGGAAGCGAUGGCGGCCUGCGAAGGACACACCCCUGGACGCCGAGUCCUGGGUUCUUGGGUUCUCAGCCUUCCCACUGCACAGCAGGGAUCUCAGAAUCGUCCCCCUGUGAAUUCUCUCACCCAUAUUCUCAUCCUUCCCACUGUUUUCCCUGCUUCUCCCACUCACCCUAUUCUGGGAAAAUUCCAGAGAUAAACGUGGGAAACCACAGGCUGCCCUUCCUUCGGUGCUUCUGCAUUUCCCAGCGCCCAGGAUCUGCCCGCUGGAUUACAGCAGCUCCUGAAGACCGUUUCUGAUCUGCCUUGGGUGGAACUGGGUGUCCACACGUGUGGGGUCACCACCACAAUCAACAUUUCCACCACCCAAGUGUCACAGUGAUAUCAUGGCCACAUGGCCGUCACCACUGCAACCAUGGACGUGCUUUAGACCUGCAUGGGUCAGACUGGCUUUCAAGAAUUGCAUCUGAAUGGAAUCAGUCACGUUGAGUCUCACUUCUAGGUUUGGAUAAUUUUUUUGAGAUUCAUCCAUGUUGUUAAUGUAUUAGUAGAGUAGCUUUCCCUUGUAUGGAGACCACAGUUUUUAUCCAUUCACUAUUAAUAAACAUUUGAGGUAUUUUCCCCCUAGGUUUUGGCUAUUUUAGGUAAAGGUCCCAUGAACAUGUCUGUAAAGUCUGUGUGUGAUGAUAAGUUGACAUUUAUUUUAAUUAAAUACUUAGGAACCAUGUCCAGCAAUUUUUAAAACUCUCUGUUUGGGGCACCAGGUCUAAAGGGUUGAGUAGAAUAAGUUCUUGGCACAAUAUAUCAUCGCUACUCACGCAAAGCACUCUUCUCCUUUAAUGUAUUUACUUAUUUAUGAAUUGGUUUAUUUAUUCCCUUUCAUCUCCGUCCCCCACACCCCUUCUCUGAUCAGCGAUCUGACACGUGUUUGAUGUCUAGCCAGGGCUGAUAGGGAGUCUCUGAAACACUGCCAUACCCGUUGGUAAAUAGUAGAACCAUGAGCAGUAUAGGAAGUACGAUUCAUCAAUAACGUAAAUGCAGCUUACUCAGGGUGGUGCUUAGUUUUAUAUGAAGCGUUGGCCAAGCUUCACUGCCCAGUUAUUCAAUCAAACAUUAACCCAGGUGUUGCUCUGAAGAUAUUUUGCAGAUGAGUUAACAUUUUCAGUCCAUUGCCUGCCUCUGUUCCGAGAAGUCUGGCCCUGAUGGGUGUGGGGUGCUGUUGAGCUUACUACUUGUAUCCAAAGACAUCAGAAAGGAUCCCAUAGGGCUGCAAAAUCCAGUUGUGUAUCUGCUUUGGGUUCUGCGUGUUAAUUAGUAUAUGUGAGGCAGAAGUGAGACCCAGCUUCUUAAGCUGUGACAGCCCACCUGGUGUCAGAUGGCAGAGCAGGUGGCCCGUCUCUAGUCACCAGUGAUUAAAAGCGUUACUGAAAGGAUGUGGAAGCUGUUUGCUGAACCCGCUUUGUACCACGCAAUCCACCAUCUUGCCAGGACUGACCUGGCAAAGGACCAGGGUGUGACUCAAAGGCAGGUGCCUACCAGAGGGG